rfam:Desulfobulbaceae bacterium S3730MH12 k99_870391, whole genome shotgun sequence.
AAGUGAUUCCAAAAUGCCUGAUUCCCAGGCAGGGUAUGAGUUUGCUUUAAAUGCAUUACCCUCGGCUCUUGCUGGGGCCAAUAUGAUUUUUGGUGCAG